rnacentral:rRNA from 1 species
GAUGAACGCUGGCGGCGUGCCUAAUACAUGCAAGUCGAGCGAACGGAUGAGAAGCUUGCUUCUCUGAUGUUAGCGGCGGACGGGUGAGUAACACGUGGAUAACCUACCUAUAAGACUGGGAUAACUUCGGGAAACCGGAGCUAAUACCGGAUAAUAUUUUGAACCGCAUGGUUCAAAAGUGAAAGACGGUCUUGCUGUCACUUAUAGAUGGAUCCGCGCUGCAUUAGCUAGUUGGUAAGGUAACGGCUUACCAAGGCAACGAUGCAUAGCCGACCUGAGAGGGUGAUCGGCCACACUGGAACUGAGACACGGUCCAGACUCCUACGGGAGGCAGCAGUAGGGAAUCUUCCGCAAUGGGCGAAAGCCUGACGGAGCAACGCCGCGUGAGUGAUGAAGGUCUUCGGAUCGUAAAACACUGUUAUUAGGGAAGAACAUAUGUGUAAGUAACUGUGCACAUCUUGACGGUACCUAAUCAGAAAGCCACGGCUAACUACGUG